rfam:Triticum aestivum genome assembly, contig: Triticum_aestivum_CS42_TGACv1_scaffold_579729_7BL
AUCAUACUCCCUCCAUCCGAAAAUACUUGUCGGAGAAAUGGAUAAAAAUGAAUGUAUCUAGAACUAAAAUACGUCUAGAUACAUCCAUUUCUCCGACAAGUAUUUCCGGACAGAGUACAAU